rnacentral:rRNA from 1 species
CCUACGGGAGGCAGCAGUGGGGGAUAUUGCACAAUGGGGGGAACCCUGAUGCAGCGACGCCGCGUGGGUGAAGGAGCGUUUCGGCGCGUAAAGCCCUAUCGGCAGGGAAGAAGGAGGACGGUACCUGACUAAGAAGCCCCGGCAAACUACGUGCCAGCAGCCGCGGUAACACGUAGGGGGCAAGCGUUAUCCGGAUUUACUGGGUGUAAAGGGGGCGCAGACGGCAGCGCAAGCCAGGAGUGAAAGCCCGGGGCCCAACCCCGGGACUGCUCUUGGAACUGCGCGGCUGGAGUGCAGGAGGGGCAGGCGGAAUUCCUGGUGUAGCGGUGAAAUGCGUAGAUAUCAGGAGGAACACCGGUGGCGAAGGCGGACUGCUGGACUGCGACUGACGUUGAGGCCCGAAAGCGUGGGGAGCAAACAGGAUGAGAUACCCUAGUAGUC